rnacentral:rRNA from 1 species
AACGCGAAGAACCUUACCUACUCUUGACAUCCAGAGAACUUAGCGGAGAUGCUUUGGUGCCUUCGGGAACUCUGAGACAGGUGCUGCAUGGCUGUCGUCAGCUCGUGUUGUGAAAUGUUGGGUUAAGUCCCGCAACGAGCGCAACCCUUAUCCUUUGUUGCCAGCGGUCCGGCCGGGAACUCAAAGGAGACUGCCAGUGAUAAACUGGAGGAAGGUGGGGAUGACGUCAAGUCAUCAUGGCCCUUACGAGUAGGGCUACACACGUGCUACAAUGGCAUAUACAAAGAGAAGCGACCUCGCGAGAGCAAGCGGACCUCAUAAAGUAUGUCGUAGUCCGGAUUGGAGUCUGCAACUCGACUCCAUGAAGUCGGAAUCGCUAGUAAUCGUAGAUCAGAAUGCUACGGUGAAUACGUUCCCGGGUCUUGUACACACCG